UGGCUGUCAAGGAAAGCUUGCUCCCCUCCCUGAUCUGGGUUAAGAACUGGGCUUCUUCUCCUGGAGCCAUUUACCUUCCAACACUGCAGAGGCAGCACGGGAGACGUAAGCGGGAGAGCGGGCAGUGGCUGGGAGCUGCUUUCCACUGAAACUGCCCCGAGCAUCUUAGGAUGCUCCGAGUUGAUCCGCGUGGAAGGUAAUUUAACUCGAGAUAGCCACGCAUUCAAACCUCAGGUAUAUUUAAGCUGCACUUUUUUUUCCUCAUUAGAAUUCUGAGAGGUGUAAUUUAUUUUCCCUACCGGUAUUCACUCCGGGAUGUUAAUUCUGACACCGGCUGCUCCAACCUGGGAAGAAUUUGAGAGGCUGCCCGGCUUUGCCACUAUUUCAAUUAGUGACUCUGGGAAACCGUCCAUAUUUCUGAUCAUCAUUUUUUCUUAUUUGUAAGAAUGAAGGUAACCGUAGCCACCACUUCUCAGGUGAGGUGGAACAUGGGUGACAGGCGUGUCCCCGCGUCCCUCGAGCGUCCCCUGACCGGCUGCCGCACAGCCUCCUUUCAGCUAAGCACGCUCCCCGCUCCUCUCGCUAGGGGGCGGUAUCGCCUAACUGCUGACUCCCGCAGGCCUCGCCGGCUGAGGCCGGACCUAGCGCCUAGCGCGAGCCUUCAACCAAGACCAUCGCAUCUCUGCUGCCGCUACAGCGGUGCCAGCUCUGUCCUUCUUCGCCCUCUCUUGCAACCCCAGUUAAGACUGAAUCGAGAAUCACUUCUCUUCCUUAAUGAAUUCUAA
rnacentral:lncRNA from 1 species